rnacentral:misc_RNA from 1 species
UUCCUGAUUUUCCCAUCGUUCGGGGCAUUCUGGGGCUGUUUUGGCUAUUGGUUGCCUGUUUGGUCAUGAACCGAAUGGGUGGCUUCUAGCCUGGUGGCUUCGGGGAUGUUGACCGUAAAGGUGGAUGAGUGGUGGUUGGUUUGUUACGUGUGGUUGGCUGCGGCGUUUGCAACAACUUCCAUGCUUUCAGACCUCUUCAGUUGUGCGGCAAGGCUUGUAUCGCCUUGAGCGUAUUGUGGGUUUUCUGUGUUGAAUACCUAAUCAAUGGUAUCGGUUGGAUUGAUCAAUGUUUCAUUUCGUCUGUCGUCGCAUUCGCGGCGUGAGAUGAACCUUGAUGCGGUCUCUUUGAUCCACCUCGUUGAAGCGCAUGCUUUGACGUUGUGGCGCAUUGAGCAUUGCUUGGUCUCUUGUAUGCGGAACAUGUAGUGGGCAUGAAUCUCACGAUUCUUGUUUGCCCUCAUAUUAGCGUAACGCUUCUCUUACACGACUUGCUCCACGUUUUAG